rnacentral:sRNA from 1 species
CUUAGUCUUAACUGCUUGUUAGGAGUUGAGCGGUAAGUUUGCGUUAUCCAGUCCUCUGGAUCUGAGUGGCCUGUUCCACUCUGUUUGACGCCUCCCUGUUAACUUCCUGAGCCGCCUUUGGCGGCUCUUUUUUU